UACGUAGGUGGCAAGCGUUGUCCGGAUUUAUUGGGUUUAAAGGGUGCGUAGGCGGUCUUUUAAGUCAGUGCUGAAAUACUCCAGCUUAACUGGAGGGGUGGCAUUGAUACUGGAAGACUUGAGUGCAGUCGAGGUAGGCGGAAUUGACGGUGUAACGGUGAAAUGCUUAGAUAUCGUCAAGAACACCGAUAGUGAAGACAGCUUACUAGGCUGCAACUGACGCUGAGGCACGAAAGUGUGGGGAUCAAACAGG
rnacentral:rRNA from 1 species